AUGAAUAACAUCAUAAGGAUAAGACGAUGAUUCCUUAAUUUAUAGAGAGCUGAUGGUGGUGAGAAUCAGUAUUUAAGAUCAUUUGUUACUCCCUUAUGUUUAUGGUAGUUAAUCGCUAUCCGGCUCAAGACCGUUAUCUUAUGUAGAGUUGCUGAGCAAUCAGUAAUUAGGGUGGUACCGCGAAUAGACUUCGUCCCUUUU
rnacentral:ncRNA from 1 species